rnacentral:rRNA from 1 species
UCGAGAAUCAUUCACAAUGGACGAAAGUCUGAUGGUGCAACGCCGCGUGGAGGAUGAAGGCCCUAGGGUCGUAAACUCCUGUCAUAGCAGAGUAAGGCAUAGUAGUUAAAAGCUAUUAUGUUUGAUAGUAUGCUAAGAGGAAGGGACGGCUAACUUCGUGCCAGCAGCCGCGGUAAUACGAAGGUCCCGAGCGUUAUUCGGAAUCACUGGGCGUAAAGGGAGCGUAGGCGGCGCGGUAAGUCAGAUGUGAAAUCUGGGGGCUCAACCUCCAAACUGCAUUCGAUACUGCCGUGCUAGAGUAAUGGAGAGGUAACUGGAAUUCUCGGUGUAGCAGUGAAAUGCGUAGAUAUCGAGAGGAAGACCAAUGGCGAAAGCAGGUUACUGGACAUUUACUGACGCUGAGGCUCGAAGGCUAGGGUAGCGAAAG